AAACAGGCUAGGACCGCCACUGCUGUUUGGCUUGUACCAAAGCUUCUCAGCAUGAGCAAAGAGCUGAUGCGGAGGGCCAAGAUGAAAUGUGGAUGGACUCUGAGUCAGACAGAGAGUCUGAGAAGAAAUCUGUGCAUGGCCCUUGUCUGAACGGUGGCACCACCAACAAAUUCACAGUGGAAACAAGAGGAGCAGGUACUGUUGCCCCUGGUCUACCAAUGGAACUUCCAUCUGAGGCCAAAAUGUCCUGAACCGACAACAAGGAUGGCAGCUGCAGUGUGGAGUACAUCCCAUAUGUGGCUGGCACGUACAACCUCAACAUCACAUAUAGAGAACAACCUAUCACAGGUGCUGAAUGGUAUUUUAGUAGUAUUAAGAAAUACAAUUGUGAGAUAAGAGCGUCUUAAGUGUAUAGUGUUGAAAUGUACUCCAUCUGCUGCUGUUAAAAAAGGGGGGGCUUAAAUAUUUCUUCUAAUUUUCCCUCAUGUCUUGCCUGAGCCCAAGAAGGCAAAUAACCAUUACAACCAUGAUGGGACCUACCUGGUGUGUUAUGUGCCAGACAUGACUGACAGAUACACCAUUCUCAUUAAGUACGGAGGAGACGAGAUCCCUUAUUUACCCUACUGAACCAGGCUUCUGUUUAGCAGAGAUGCCAGCAAGUGCACUUUCACAGUGUUGCUGGUGUACUUGCACAUAAACCACUGAAGGUGGGCUCGGCUGCAAAUAUUCCACUGGACAUAGGAGAGCUUGACCUCAGCCAGCUGACAGCCUCUCUUACAACACCCUCGGUGCGAGAGGAGCCCUGCCUGCAGAUGAUUCUGCGUAACACUCACAUUGGAAUCUCCUUUGUUUCCAAGGAGAUUGGUGAGCACCUUGUUAACAUCAAGAAGAACGGUCGUCAUGUUCCCAGCAGCCCAGUUGCUGUUAUGAUCAAGCAGUCAGGGAUUGGUGAUGUGAGCCGUGUGAGUGGACCGGGGCU